GGGCGGGUCACACGUGCCAACACCUAGCCACCAGCAGUGCCUCGGACACAAGGAGGGAAACCAUGAGGACUGCAGGCACAUUAUCAAGAACCUCUCCAUGUCCACACAAGAUGUAAACGGUAUUGCCGUCUUCAUGCUACUUGGUCAAGUGGAGCUCAUUGACGUACCAGGAGAGGCCUAGACUUCGACUUCCAUGGCUGCUGUGGUCGGUGUCCACAGCCAUGGGCAGAUCCGAGCUGCUUCAGAGGUUGGGGACACAGAUGCUGCUGUCUGACUGUGUGGGUUGAAGCACAGGCCUUCCGGAGACUCCUCA